UACAUAUAUCUCUACAUAUGAAAGUGAUAUACAAUAACUUCAUGAACCAAUGUCUUGACGUCUUCAAUUCAUACUUGCAAUCGGAACCGUAGAAAUUGCCUAACAAAACAAAACAAAACGUUAAAUUAAUAAAAUGAAAGUUAAAAUGCAAUCUUUAAAUUCAAAUGUUAAAAAAUUAUCAUACAUGCAUACACAUAAGACAUGUAGUUCCAAAUCUACCCUACGUAUGCACAUAAGACAUGAAGAUUCAAAUCCAUGACCUACAAGUCCAACAAUACUACAAUCGACCAAUAUAUCUAUCAAAUCACAAAUCAUAAAUAUGGGGAUUGUAGGCUAUGGCCUCAAUUAUGUUAUUAUGUUGCAAUUCCUAAUUAAAAAAAAACACCAUUUUACUCUUUCCACUGUCACAUUCUUAGCAAAGCACCAUACAGAAUGAUCACAAUAUGAUAAAAUAAUUGCACCUAAAGUUAUGUGCAAGAACGACUACAAUAUGAUAAAAUGGUUAAUAAUUUAAAUGUAUGAUUAUGUUGGAACAAACCUAAGUUAUUUUAGGCUUCUGCAUAAGUAGGAUUCACCACAAUCUCUAUCUUUAUCAUGCUAGCAGCAACAUCCAUUUUGCCCUAUAUAUUAAUCUACAAUUCUAAAAGCGAUAAGGACUCCAACGUUGUUCAACAAUUGUGAGACACUUGGAUUAUUUGACGAAGC
rnacentral:lncRNA from 1 species